ACUUUUGGUCUUUCCUUGAUGCUUGCACUUGCCAAUAACUCUUUAGAUCUUGUUGAGGGGUCAUCGUGCACUUCUGUAACAUUGCGAAGCAGUUUUCUAGGAAAGUUCACAAUACUGCAUUGUUAACCAGUGAAUCUAUUGGUGAUUUUCUUGUAUAAUAUGCAAAGAAAAUUGAUCAAUUGACCACGACGACGUCACAGAGGGGCAGCACAUUUAUGAACCUUACGUGUCCACCUCUUUUAGUCAAAUAAAAGGGAGUCAACGUCGAAAUUUUGUACUGUAAAAGCACAAUGGUUGAUUUGCAAAAGCCUUAACAUGAAGAUGUAUUUAAAGGUGUUGUGUUAAAUUUAUGAGCAUGUUGACGUGCAUUUGUCACCUGGCACGUUCCUUUUCGUUAGGUCCACCUAAUGUCUCCAAAAUUGCACGAAAGCUGGAAAUAGCCAGAGAACACGCAAACAUUUCCUUUCCUGCAAUGAAAAAAAAAACUUGGACAAUGCACUUCUUCAACAUUUUGAUGUGAGCUCUCUUUAACAAUCAAAAAAUAGACCUUAUGAUCAUCUUGUAGCGCUAUAGGAAUUAUUGAAGGCGCAAUACUUGAAAGUGUGUAGUUAUCUCUUGUUAAAGUAAGGUCAUCUCAAACAUGUUCAUUUUAUUUGACAUUUC